rnacentral:rRNA from 1 species
UACAUGUGGGGCAAGCGUUGUUCGGAAUUACUGGGCGUAAAGCGCACGUAGGCGGCUUUGUAAGUUAGAGGUGAAAGCCCGGGGCUCAACCCCGGAAUUGCCUUUAAGACUGCAUCGCUUGAAUCCGGGAGAGGUGAGUGGAAUUCCGAGUGUAGAGGUGAAAUUCGUAGAUAUUCGGAAGAACACCAGUGGCGAAGGCGGCUCACUGGACCGGUAUUGACGCUGAGGUGCGAAAGCGUGGGGAGCAAACAGG